rnacentral:rRNA from 1 species
CGGGUAGCUUCUUCGGAGGACAUUA